rnacentral:tRNA from 1 species
GCCCCGUUAGCUCAAUUGGCAGAGCAGCUGACUCUUAAUCAGCGGGUUGUAGGUUCAAGUCCUACACGGGGCA